rnacentral:lncRNA from 1 species
AUUCAGGGACACCUGCGGCUCCAGGUCAGAGAUGCACCUGCUAGUCCUGCCUCUACAGGACCCAACCCAUCAGUUCCUAGCUUGUCCUUCUGGUGAGAAUUGAGCACACUAUACUGUGGACAUAAAGACAAACCUUGCUGGAACUGACUGGUGGAAUGUAGCAGGAAUCGGAGGGAAGCUUUACUCAUCAUUCCAGUCCAGGGACCAACAUAGGAAAUUAUAUUAAAAUUGGUUCUUCUCUGCUUACUUCCGUCCUCUAGUUGCAUAUUCUUAAUCAGGUAAAGCAUUUGUUAACCUUGUUUUUAAUACUUAGAGGAGUGCCCUGGAGCCUGUCUGCCCUCAUGAUUGUCUGGAGAGGUGAGAAGACCAGGAGUAGUAAAACAGACCAAAGAUUUCCCAAUUUCUCUUGGGGAAGUGGCUGGGAUUGGGGAUGGUGGCCAAUGGGAGCCCAACUUUAUUGGUAAAAUUCUGAUUAUUUUAUGAGAAGAAUGUAUUUUUGUAUCAUUUGUGUAAUUAAAAAAUUAAGCAAAUGAAUAAUAUGAACACUUCAGUUCUUAAACAUUGACAAUGUAUAUACUGGAUGUAAUAAAACGC